CUCAGAUUGAACGCUGGCGGCAUGCCUUACACAUGCAAGUCGAACGGUAACAGGUCUUCGGAUGCUGACGAGUGGCGAACGGGUGAGUAAUACAUCGGAACGUGCCCGAUCGUGGGGGAUAACGGAGCGAAAGCUUUGCUAAUACCGCAUACGAUCUACGGAUGAAAGCAGGGGACCGCAAGGCCUUGCGCGGACGGAGCGGCCGAUGGCAGAUUAGGUAGUUGGUGGGAUAAAAGCUUACCAAGCCGACGAUCUGUAGCUGGUCUGAGAGGACGACCAGCCACACUGGGACUGAGACACGGCCCAGACUCCUACGGGAGGCAGCAGUGGGGAAUUUUGGACAAUGGGCGAAAGCCUGAUCCAGCCAUGCCGCGUGCAGGAUGAAGGCCUUCGGGUUGUAAACUGCUUUUGUACGGAACGAAAAGACUCCUUCUAAUAAAGGGGGUCCAUGACGGUACCGUAAGAAUAAGCACCGGCUAACUACGUGCCAGCAGCCGCGGUAAUACGUAGGGUGCAAGCGUUAAUCGGAAUUACUGGGCGUAAAGCGUGCGCAGGCGGUUAUAUAAGACAGAUGUGAAAUCCCCGGGCUCAACCUGGGAACUGCAUUUGUGACUGUAUAGCUAGAGUACGGUAGAGGGGGAUGGAAUUCCGCGUGUAGCAGUGAAAUGCGUAGAUAUGCGGAGGAACACCGAUGGCGAAGGCAAUCCCCUGGACCUGUACUGACGCUCAUGCACGAAAGCGUGGGGA
rnacentral:rRNA from 1 species